rnacentral:tRNA from 1 species
GGCCCGAUGGCGGAGUGGUUACGCACCGGAUUGCAAAUCCGUUUACCCCGGUUCGAUUCCGGGUCGGGCCUCCA